UUCUCAAAACCCUUGAUUCCUCAAUUAGUUAUGGCCGCCAUGAAUCACCAUUCGACCAUCCAUUCAUGGGUCAAAUAUUUCUGAUUCGAUUGAGCUCCAUGACCGCUAGGACCAACGCUCUUCUGUGCUAUCUAUUUGUCCACUCUAUCGUGUAUUUUUCCAAAGUCGCGCAGUUUGGAGCCUCAAGCAUUGUGUUGCUAUCGCUACCUUACUCCGACCAUUUUUCUGAUUAAUCAAGCGUAUUUCUUUGGAGGAGGUAUGAAACAAAUGCAAGAGUCAGAAGAAAUGUCAAGUUAACUCUUAAUCAAGGAUCUCGGGCUUUUGUCGCAAGCCGAUAUGCUAUGCGCAAGGAUGAUGAAGAACCAAAUAGGAUGGAUUUCUUCAAGGUAGCUCAUUAUUUAAAUGACAGAGGAUGGACAACAUCUGAGGCACAAGCAAAAUAUUUAAGACCUCGCAAAAUUAAAGUAUUAAAUUGUAAUUUUUUAUCUAAGGAUUAUUUUAUUUAUGAAUGACUUUUUUAAGAGAAAAUGGUGGAGUUGAAAUCAACUCCAGUUGAAGGAGCAAAGCCUAAGAAUACCAAUGAUAUAGUAGAUGACGUACUUGGUACGAGACCAAGAUACAUUCCGAGGCUUGGAUAUGGGCCAAAGCCUAAGAAAACAAAUUCAAGUGUAGAUACAAUCGAGUUAAAAAAGUAUUUGAAGAAUAAAGAAGAUGAACUUAAUGAUUGUAAGUCAAAUUUUGAAUUUAUUCAAACUCAAAUGGAAGCUAUGAGUUCUGCUUUGUUAGGUGUUGGAA